ensembl:lncRNA
UGGAAAGACAAGGUCAGGCCGAAUUAGGUUUACACAAAAUGGCUCCCUCAUAUUCUCCAAUAUAUCCUAUUGCUUGCCAUUUUUAUUUGUCACUCUCCCGUCUUUUAAAGCAGUCGGUGUUGCAGGUGCUCAGCGUGAGGGAAUGACUGCCUCCACGUGGAGAGCGGCAAGCAGCAGGGAAGAUCAAAGCCCCUCACGGGCACCAGGCACCCGGCCCCUCAGCCUGGGCAGCUGCCCAGCCUAACGUGAGCAUAGCGAGCUGCCUUUCCUACCUGGAUGAACCAUAACCCAUGUUUCAGAUUCCAGCACUUUGGAGGGCUUCCAUCUCUCCAGUUCCAAGCGAAGCGCGAAAGCUCUGCUUCCGACGGGAUUUAGAAGAGGCCGGUUAACGACGACCAGCCAGGACGCGGAGCAGUCUUUUCCGACCUCGCUGCUUCGCCCUCCCUUUACGCUGACUUUAAGAGCUUCAAGUCACGGUGGUCAUGAGUGCUACACUGAAGGACACCACAUGUCACCAAUCCUAAACUAGUAAGCAAUUUCUGGUUAUUAAGGAGUUUUUGAGCAGAAGGAAACCUGUGGCACCAGAAGCCUUCCCGUCUGCAAGUCGUUCAGUGGAAGGAAGCAGGACAGGGAAAGAAGGCUCGACAGACAACUUCCCCGUUGGCCUUCCAGCCUUCCCUGGACCCAUGUGCAUGUCCAACCUGGCCUCUUCUCAGGGAACGUUCACUAUCCGCGCAACAGAAUAAGAAAUAAGACAGUUGAUGGAACUGUCCUCAUAGAACGCAAACUCUGCCAUCAUUUCAAGCACGCUGGAUGGAGAGGAUUAAGGGCAGGACCCAUAUUUCACACCUUUGCUUCCUGGGGAAUGAGGCUGCCUAAGAGAGAGGCAUGACCAGCUACUGCUCUUUUCCACAAGCUGCGUGUGCAAUUGUGUUAUCAUUCAACAGAAGUUCAAAGUAGGAAAAUAUCUUAUUACAGGUGGGGACACUCCAAGAAAUUUCUGGAUUGUUAGAGUGAACAGAAAUAUUCAGAAACGAGCCUGUUUACCUUAAAAUAUCUGAAUGCCAGAUGCAAAAUGUUUGAACAUAAGUCCCUCACUUAAUAAGCAGAGAUGAACACAGUCUUGUGGUCACUGACAAGAAAGGGGUGGAUUUAUUUGAUAAGAACUGCAGAUGAGUACUCUUCCUGGGUGAGAGAAGUUCGGAUGGACUGCAGACUCCAAACCAACAACAUAAGCGCCAUCAGAAGCCUUGUAAAUGGUAUCAACAAUACAAGAUGGGCUUUAAAAAAAUACCGAAUAGGCCUCCUAAAAGAAUAACGUUUUACCACCAAAUUCCCUCGGUCCAGGGCCGCAGGAGAAUGUGCCUCUACUAGAUGCCUGUAACAUUUCCCCCUUCGCUUCUCAGGCUGGAGAGGCUCCACAGCCAUCUCCAGUGACCGUCCCCUCCAGGCCUGAUGCUGCACACAGUCACCGAUUCUAACAGCUUUCUCUCUUUUAUCUUCCAUAAGGUUAAGGGUUUCCAAAAGCCAUUAGGACCCAAGAGAGUAAAACCAACCAAACGAAGAAGCAUAAAAUCUCCACAAACAUAAGGAAUCUGCAUGGUUAAAUUUCUUCUCCAAAGUCGCCUGCACCCCAAUUCCAUGUGGCUCUGCCUUCGGUAGGCACCCGUUAGACGCCUCUGCUCUCCCCUUCCGGGGAGAGUAACAGAAUCCCCCGUCUGCUGAGCCGCUUGUGCAUUUCGUGGGAAGCGUAGGAUGCUGUGACCUCCUUCAGAAUUCUGUACUAACUUUUUACGGGGGAAGCCUCCUGCUUCCAAUGUCUAGAACUGUGGAAUCUCUAAAUAUGCUUUCUUUUUUUGUCACGGUCUUCCUCUUUCCAGUUUCUUAACAUGGUUUUGGUUUCACUCCUCAGUCUUUCUCUUCGGUUUUGCCUGCGACUUCUGCUGUACAAAUUUAAUCGUAAGAACAGCCAGACUUCUGUAGCACUGACUCUGCCAGCACUCAGCCAGCCUCACGGCCUCUCUCUGUGGGAGGGUCAUGACUGUCGUCUCCAUCUUCAAAGUGAGAGAUGGAGUCAGGGAGGUUAGACACCCGGCUCCAGGGGGCAGCACUGAGCAGCGCAGAGCCCUGACUCCAUGGCAGCCCGCUGCUUCCAAAUCCUGCUUCUGCCUGCCCCGCAGCGCUCCCACCUACCCGCUUCCCUCUGGAGGGUGUUGUCCUCUGUGCCUUUGGUCCUGGGUCAUUUUAUCCCCCCGUGUUUAGAGUCUUCAAUUCUCAUAAAAAAACAGAAAUAAGUGCUAAAAUAUUUGGAAGCCCUUUUUAACUUUUCUGGGGUGAGAUAUUUUCCAGCUCUAUCACCAUGGACUUAACAGUCCCCGAACCCCAGGAGCCUCCCUGAUGUGCAAUCCGGGGAUUUUAAUAACCGCCCUGCGCUGUUAUCAUGACAGCAGAUAUUACACAAGCACAGCGGGGCCCAUUCAUCCAGCUGCUGCGAUGGGCCUUCCUACUCGGCUCCCUAACUCCAGAAUCUUAAUGGUCAGUGAGGGUCCAUCCAGUCCAAGAAUCUAUUUAUUAGUACCUGGAGAGGAUCUUGAUUUUAGAACUUUGGGAAUACAAAAUUUUUUUUUGAGAAUCAUCACGUUCUCUGUUUAAUUACAUACAGGUUCUUAUUCAUAAAAUACACCUAUCAGUUUAUCGCCUCGGCUCCAAGUUCACUCUCCAGUACCCGCUCUGGGAUAUCGGCAGGGCGCUUUUCGGUCCUGGUGACUCCUGGGAACAUGGAUGCUCACAUUCCUUCACCCUGUGACCCCUCCUGUGUAGGACACUGCAGGAUGCAGCUCCUCUUCAUGAAACCAGUUUCUUAACCUUUUGCAGUGUCAGAAAUGCUGGAAAAGAAAGCCAUAAAAUUAUGGUGAUAGUCAGUGGAAGACAGUGAGACAUUUUAAAAUCCAUAGUUCCUGAAGGACAAAUCAUGAAUGUCCAUGCAUUCGAGCUCUCUGUUGACUGAGAAUGGCUAUUUAUCUCCCACAGGGAGGAGCCGGUGAGGAGCCACGGAGAGUGGAGAAUAAGCCUUAGCCUGGGGGACCUGCCGAAGGAGCGGGUGGUGCGUGGGUGAGGGGAGCCCCCUUCCCUUUGCCUCUCUCGCCAGCCCCGCGUGGCUCCUGACCGCUCUCGGAUGACUCUCCUCUGGUAGCACGAUGUCCCACGUGCUCCUUUCUGCUCCUGCAAAACAGCUACGCAGUGGGCACACUAGAGCAUGGCCCUGCCUUAAACACUCUGUAAAUGAGAAAGACGGGGAAGAAACAUCCGUCUCUGGCUUACGUCACGGAAGAAUUAUGGUGAAAAACAUGGCAUAAGGAGAUUCGCGUUUUUUCCUAGGACAGUAUUCCCUCUGCUGGUGAAAGCCUGGAACUUCCCCCACGAAUGCAGCUUUAUAAAGAAGCAGCCGACCGGGACUGUCGUUUCUGUAUUCCAGGGAACACUUGGCGUUUUCUUGCACACCACGUGUUGUUUUUAGAGUCUGACAAAACCUCCAAGGAAAUCACCAGUUACGUCUUUUUUUAUUUUCCUACAUAUUCAAUUCUGAAGUUUUCUCUUCCCCAAACGAAAGCUUCGUGUCUGAGGAGAGACUGCGUUUAUUUACUAAAUGAGCAUCUCUCUCCCAGGGUGUGGUUUAUUUUCCAUAGAGCCCAACGUUAUGAUUUAGAAGGAAGCUCUCCCAGUGUGGUCCCUGGAGAUGCUCUCUUGGUCUCACAGAGAAUUAAAGUGCAAUUGUGUCCCAGAGGCGAAAAGUGAUAGAUAUCUGUGUCCAAUUCAGUCGACUUAAUAAGAUCCUUGUGACCUACACUUGAGGCUGUCCUACUCAUUUCUGCCUUCGGAGGAAGCUUACGUCAGCGGUCCUGGAGGAAGCGGCCUGUUCUAGUGACUCACCUGGGAAAGCCGCGAGGAGACGCCUCCUUGGGCUCAAAGAGGAUGCCAGAGCCCUCCAAGGGUCACACAGCUAACACUAGUGUGAUUUUUGCACUGAUAUUUAACACACUAAGAAAGUAAGAAAUAAAUGUAAAUAGAAGAAAAAGGAAAUUGACUUGGAUUAGACUCCUCUCAACAUUUUGAUGAAGGCACUGGGGUAAAUAAUUAAAGCAGUAGAUUUACCGGCAAUUUUCAGAGUAGUACCUGAAUACCGUUCCUACCCUGGAGGGCUUGCAUCCUGUGUUACCCGAGGAAAUGUUUCAAUGUAUCCUUACAGCUCGCCAACAGUCACUCCAAACUCAACUUCCGAUUAAUUCUGACAGCGCGGGGUCCCCUUUCCACUUUCUGUUUUUAAUUGUUUUUCCUCCUGUGUUUUGAGUUGAAUAUUCACUUUCUCCUAAAACUGAGAUUAUUUUGAAGAGUGUUAAAAGGUAAAUUUCAAAAAUGGUUAAAAUCAUGACUCUCAUGGAGAUAAAAAUGAGCAGAUGUUAGAGAUUUUAUUCUGCUCAUUAACCAGUGAGGGAACCAGGCAGAUGUCAUACCUGGUUUAAAAGAGAAUCUGAAGAAAUGGUGCAUUUAUAAAUCAGGAAUAUUGAAGUGAAUGUGCAAAUGGAGGCAAAGUUGGUUUUUGAACACGAGGAGACAGGACAUUAAUUGAACCUCUACCGGGCAGGGCACAAUUUGCAUGUCAACAGACAAGAGUUAUUUUGCACUGUUACUACUUAUCUUUGAUUUACAGAGUUGCAGAAGAGCUCAAGGCCGGAAAAGACUAGGAUCAGAGAGUCCUGCAGUGUUCUAGGGCCUAGACAAUGCAUGGUUUUCCAGUGAAGCACAACUUUUUUCCUACAAGAAAAAAUAAUUUUCUGCUUGAGGCUCUUUCUAUCAAUUUUCUUAGAAAACAGGCAGAUCCAACGCUUGGUAUGCAACCUCUGGGUUUCUGUGUCGGAUUCUUCUUGUUUCUCUCACACAGCAUUUAGUGAACCUCCAUGAGAAAUUGCUAAGUACACGUAUGAGAUAGUCCGCACUUCGAGAGUCCCCCCAACAAUGAAGUUUUAUUUAACUACGUGAAAUAUCCAAUUUUCUCUUGUUCCUUAGCAUUCUUUCUAUUUGUUUAGCAAAUAUUUACCAGUCACCCACUCGCCCAGCGUCAGGGCUAAGAAAACAGAAGUAGAUCGACAGGGGGACCGAGGCAAGCAAUGAGCUCAAAUACAACAGACAGGAAUUUUCUUCCAGAAACUCAGAGGUCCAAGAAAUACCAACAUACGUUAUUUUCUUUAAAUCAAAGAAUCUGAAUCUGAGACCCAGAUACCUGAUUGGCAGAUAAUUUAAUCUCAGUCAUUAUCCAGCUUCCUUGGGGUCAUGGGAAGGCCCAAGGAUUAUAAAAAAGCAAAAUAUUUGUGGGGUUUGUCUGUGGUCUUUGGUCCCACAGGGAAAAUUGUGCAAGACUGUGUAGUUUAGUAGGCAUUCUGACUGGCUUGUCCCUGUGGGUCGUCUCUGCUGUCGGUUGUCUUUGACUAGGUUAUUUGACAGCUCCAUAGAGAUAGAUGUUAACUUGUAGAGCAUGAAUAAUAACCCAAAUGUUUCCUGGGCAUAGCUAAGCAAAUGGUUCCUGUUCAUGGCAAUGCAAAUUAGUUUUGUUUGAUAGAGAAUAUAAAUCUCUGGAAGUCAAAUUUCCAUUUGAACUGAUUGUUAUAUAUCUUACUGGUUCCCUUAUAAAUUAUUGAGUUAAAUGAAAUCCUUGAUGUACUCAUGUUACAUUUGUAUGUGAAUUAUGAUUUUUCCCUCUUGUAAAAUGUGUCCUGUUUCAUUCCCACUAAGAUGUUGCCCUGAAGGUCACAUGUCGUUUGAGUUGGCUCUCCUGCCUCAGCAGGGACGAGAGUCCUGGCAGGGAUCUGUGGUUUCAGGGCUCCCACGUGGUUGUGCAGAGUUGGUAGUACUCGAUUCUAGGGGGCGCCAUUCACAUAGGCCAAGAGUAAAAUUUUCCCUUAGUAAACAUGCUGCAGGCUGUUGGUCUCUGUCAUGACCACUCAACUCUGCCCUGGUUGCUCAAGAGCAGCCACAGACAACACACUGAUGAAUCGAGGUGGUCGUGUUCCGAAAAAGCUUCAUUUACAGAAACAGGCAGAAGCCCGCAGGCUUAGUUCACCAGCUCCUGACGUACACUGCAGUAGCCUGUCUGAAAUCCUUGGAAAACUCUAAGAGAGUGAGAAGUAGGGGCUCACCAUUUACAUUUCUUUUUCCCCUGUGCCCUACUUGCCCUGCAAAAGGCACUGGUUUUUUUUGUUUCUCUUUAUCCUCUAGCAUAAUUUUCUCAAAAAGUCUAGUCUUUUGAAAACAAAAGAUGGGGGGGAAACUGUUGGAACAUUUCGCUUUAGCCCAUAGUGUCCCUGAAUCACAGGACAAGAAGACUGCUACCAUGAUGUAAAAGGAGAGGAAAAACACAAGAUCAAAACACUCAUUGAUAAAUUAUCUGGUCACAAGGAUAAGACCUAUUUCUUCUAUAAUCGUUAUUAUUAUUUUUUUUUUUUACAAUUUUCUUACUUUUAUGAAGUGCUAUGGUUUUUCAAAGCAUUUUUCAACAUGUACUCAGACAUAGCCAGCAAAGCAAGAAGAGCUAAGUCAGCUGUCUUCUAGUCAAUGUUCAACAACUGGCUAAAGACUUAAACUACGUCAGAAAAGGCCAUUGGCUUCCAUCUGGUGCUUCUGGGAUGCUUGCUGUGAAGGAAACUUGCUCCCCUGUAGGAAAUCGGACUACCCCGCAUCCACCUUGCUGGAGGGAACACAUAUAGGGACUUUGGUAGAUGGACACCAUCACCUGCAAGACAUACGUGCAAGCUGUCUUGGACAUCCAGGCCGGUUAAGCCUUCAGACAACUGUCGCAUCAACUGAUGUCCCAUUGCCACUAUAUGAGGAACCCCAAAUGAGAACUGCCCAGGCGGGCCAUUCAUGAAUUCCUGACCCACAUAACUGUGAGCAAAAUGAAUGAUUAUUGUUUCAUGUCACCAAUUUUUAGAUUAAUUUGUUAUUUGGCAAUAGGAACUGUAACAGGAAGAAAGCAACAGUGUUUGGAGAGUCAUCGCACACGGAGAGUGAAAGAGAGAGAGGAGCCAGAGAGGAUUCUAGACACUGAAUCUUUUAGAAAAUAAUUUUGUCAUCUCGGGGAGCAGGAAAGUGAGUUGAAACAAAAUGAAGGAGGGAAGACGAUGCAGAUGAUCUUGAGUACAUUAAAUUUCGAGCGUGUCUUCGUCAGUUCAGCCUGCUGUAAGAUAAUCCCACAGAUUGGGUGCCUUAAACCACAGAAACUUACUUCUCACAGUUCCGGAAGCUAGGAAAUCUAAUCAAGGCAUAGGCAGAUCCAGUGUCUGCUGACAUCCUGCUUCCUGCUUUGCCCAUGGCCGUCUUCUCAUUGUAUCCUCACAGGUCAAACAGAGAGAGAGAGCCAGAGAGCAAGCUCUGGCGUCUCUUCUUAUAAGAGCACUGUGAGGUUGUGAGUUACAAUAAGAAAAUACAGUAAGAGUAUUCGGUCUUCGUCCCUGUUCCUGGUACAGAGCUCCUAAAGCCCUUAUACUUUCCUAAGUGAUAGAGCAAUGACGGUGUCUUCUCUUAUUCAGAACAAGCCCCUUUCAACCACACACGAGUUCUGUUAAUGAGGUGAUUUUUGGAAAGCCCCUACGUUUGGGGGCUGGUUCCCAGGGGAACCAAUCCCCUGAUUAGAGGGUUAGAACUUUCAGCCCCCCACCCCGUCCUCCAGGAAAGGGAGAGAAGCUGGGUUUCUCUUCUGUACACAUGUUGUUAAACCUUGAUUUUUUUCCUGUCAUUCUGUCUCGCAUCAAUGUAAUUCUUAGGCCGGCCAGAAGGACCUAGAGGGGAGAGGAAUUGUCUCCCUUCUCUACAGCUUCAUAUGAGCCACGGAGGCUUGAAUCACAUGUCACUGUGGCAAAAUCGCUAGAUUUCAUACAUUUUCUUUUAAAAAUGUCAACGACUAAGGUAUUUUCUUUCAUUGAAGAAUUACUGCACAUACAUGACAAAAAUUCAAAUAGUUCAAAAGAGUGUAUUAUGACCAAGGGAAGCUCUCCUCUCAUUUCAGACCCCUUUCUCCUUUACCAAGGCAUCCACUAUAAAGAGUUUCUUGUGGAUCUUUCGAAAUAUAUUCUGUACUUAUGCAAACUUAUAUAGGUGUAUGUAUAGACACAUAGACAUCCAGUGUUUACCCGAAUAUGUUCUUUGUCUUGAUGCACCUGAGAGACUAUUCCUUUCAGAUCUACUCUGGUCUUUUCAUGGUGGCACAGCUUUCUAACGUAGGACAGGGCCAGUAUCCCAUGUAUAUAGUAUAACAUAUAGAUGACUCUAUAUUAUGUUUAACAUGUUUCUUAUUGAUGAGCAUUUAGGCUGCUUUAAAAUUUUUUUAAAUUACAACUGCAAUUAGCAUGUGUGUAUAUACAUAUUCCAUACAUGCAUGCAUAUAAGUAUAUAUAUCAGUGUAUGGAUAUGAGAGUUUAACUAUAGCAUAAACUUCUAAAACUGGAAGGGCUAGGUUAAAGGGCAUAUGCAUUCUAUAUUUUUAAAAGAUAAUAUCAAAUUGUCCCUCAAGGAGAUUUUACUAGCUUCAUUCUCACUGCCUAUUUUCUCACAUCCUUACCAAUUAAUGUUAUCAUUGAAUAAAUUAUUUUUACCAUUCUCAUUGGUGAAAAAUUAUGUCAUUGCUCUAAUUUGCAUUUCCUUAAUUAUUAGGUCGGUUUAGUUCUUUUAAUACAUUUUUGGCCAGUUAUAUUUCCUUUUCCCUGAACUUACCCAUUUUUAAUAGAUUUUCAAGGGUCCUUGUGUAUUCGGGACUAUUAAUCAUGAGGCCUUCAGUUGUAAAUAAGUCUACUGCUCAGUUGGGCGGAGGGUGGGGGGCAAUGGAGGCACAUUCCUGCCAUCUCACCAUGUGGGGACAAGUGAAUGAAGCAGGGGACCAUAAA